GAUGAACGCUGGCGGCGUGCCUAAUACAUGCAAGUCGAGCGAACAGACGAGGAGCUUGCUCCUCUGACGUUAGCGGCGGACGGGUGAGUAACACGUGGAUAACCUACCUAUAAGACUGGGAUAACUUCGGGAAACCGGAGCUAAUACCGGAUAAUAUAUUGAACCGCAUGGUUCAAUAGUGAAAGACGGUUUUGCUGUCACUUAUAGAUGGAUCCGCGCCGCAUUAGCUAGUUGGUAAGGUAACGGCUUACCAAGGCAACGAUGCGUAGCCGACCUGAGAGGGUGAUCGGCCACACUGGAACUGAGACACGGUCCAGACUCCUACGGGAGGCAGCAGUAGGGAAUCUUCAGCGAUGGGCGAAAGCCUGACGGAGCAACGCCGCGUGAGUGAUGAAGGUCUUCGGAUCGUAAAACUCUGUUAUUAGGGAAGAACAAAUGUGUAAGUAACUAUGCACGUCUUGACGGUACCUAAUCAGAAAGCCACGGCUAACUACGUG
rnacentral:rRNA from 1 species